GUGACCCCAGGAUGGGCGAGGCCACCCGCCGAAUUUAAG
rnacentral:rRNA from 1 species